AUAACGAGUUGCGCAACCAGCAGUCACAACAAAUUAUCUCAGGUAUGUCGACCAUGCGAAGACCGGCAAGCGGCGACAGCCGAUCCGCUUAGUCCGUCAGUCGUGUUUGAAAUUCGCAUCAGUUGUUAUCGACAGGCGAAGGAGGAAAGGUUAGGAACAAGCAGUAGAACUGUCAAAAAAUCUAUUGGAAGAACUAAAUCAUAAGCCGCAGCAUGCGUUUUCUUCUGGUCUUGGCGUGCGUGUUUGUUGCAGGAAACGCACAGCAACUACAUGCCACAUGCGCUCUUAGCGGUGCUGGUUUAGUGGGAAAUGUGAGCUUCACCCAAAAUGAACCUGGCGGUGCCGUUACAAUUCGUGGUUCCAUUCUUGGUUUAACUCCUGGUCUGCACGGAUUUCACGUUCAUGAAAAAGGGGACUUGACUGGAGGAUGUGCUAGUGCUGGUGGACAUUUUAACCCUGAUAUGUUAACCCAUGGUGCUCCCGAAGACCCAGUCCGUCACGCUGGAGAUUUCGGAAACAUCGCUGCUGACGAACGCGGUGAAGCUCAUUUCGAAUUUGUCGACCAUGUGAUCUCCCUGCACGGUGGCCCUCGCUGCGUCAUAGGCCGCGCGGUGGUCGUGCACUCAGGACAAGAUGACUUGGGCCGCGGCGGACACGAACUGAGUCUCAAGACCGGUAACGCCGGCGGCCGGGCUGGCUGCGGAGUCAUCGGCAUUGCGUAAGGGACUUAUUAUCGAGAUUCUAAGAGAAAUUAAGUGUUAAUAACAUAUGACAAACAACUAUGCCGAACACUGGACAUUCUACCUAACUGUCCAUUCCAUGUAUUUUGAGCAAAAUUUGAUCAACAAUUAAGCCGAUGUGUUAAAUUCUCUCUUAUAAAUGCUAUGUUUUCUUUGCUUUUAUUUUUAUAUUAUAUUU